rnacentral:rRNA from 1 species
UACGAAGGGGGCUAGCGUUGUUCGGAUUUACUGGGCGUAAAGCGCGUGUAGGCGGACUGAUAAGUUGGGGGUGAAAGCCCAGGGCUCAACCCUGGAACUGCCUUCAAGACUGUCAGUCUGGACUCAAGGAGAGGCGAGUGGAAUUGCGAGUGUAGAGGUGAAAUUCGUAGAUAUUCGCAGGAACACCAGUGGCGAAGGCGACUCGCUGGACUUGUAGUGACGCUGAGACGCGAAAGCGUGGGGAGCAAACAGG